UACCCCGAGGAAAAGAAAUCAACCGAGAUUCCCCCAGUAGCGGCGAGCGAACGGGGAGGAGCCCAGAGCCUGAAUCAGUGUGUGUGUUAGUGGAAGCGUCUGGAAAGGCGUGCGAUACAGGGUGACAGCCCCGUACACAAAAAUGCACAUGCUGUGAGCUCGAUGAGUAGGGCGGGACACGUGGUAUCCUGUCUGAAUAUGGGGGGACCAUCCUCCAAGGCUAAAUACUCCUGACUGACCGAUAGUGAACCAGUACCGUGAGGGAAAGGCGAAAAGAACCCCGGCGAGGGGAGUGAAAAAGAACCUGAAACCGUGUACGUACAAGCAGUGGGAGCCUCUUAAUGGGGUGACUGCGUACCUUUUGUAUAAUGGGUCAGCGACUUAUAUUCUGUAGCAAGGUUAACCGAAUAGGGGAGCCGAAGGGAAACCGAGUCUUAACUGGGCGUUAAGUUGCAGGGUAUAGACCCGAAACCCGGUGAUCUAGCCAUGGGCAGGUUGAAGGUUGGGUAACACUAACUGGAGGACCGAACCGACUAAUGUUGAAAAAUUAGCGGAUGACUUGUGGCUGGGGGUGAAAGGCCAAUCAAACCGGGAGAUAGCUGGUUCUCCCCGAAAGCUAUUUAGGUAGCGCCUCGUGAAUUCAUCUCCGGGGGUAGAGCACUGUUUCGGCAAGGGGGUCAUCCCGACUUACCAACCCGAUGCAAACUGCGAAUACCGGAGAAUGUUAUCACGGGAGACACACGGCGGGUGCUAACGUCCGUCGUGAAGAGGGAAACAACCCAGACCGCCAGCUAAGGUCCCAAAGUCAUGGUUAAGUGGGAAACGAUGUGGGAAGGCCCAGACAGCCAGGAUGUUGGCUUAGAAGCAGCCAUCAUUUAAAGAAAGCGUAAUAGCUCACUGGUCGAGUCGGCCUGCGCGGAAGAUGUAACGGGGCUAAACCAUGCACCGAAGCUGCGGCAGCGACGCUUAUGCGUUGUUGGGUAGGGGAGCGUUCUGUAAGCCUGUGAAGGUGUGCUGUGAGGCAUGCUGGAGGUAUCAGAAGUGCGAAUGCUGACAUAAGUAACGAUAAAGCGGGUGAAAAGCCCGCUCGCCGGAAGACCAAGGGUUCCUGUCCAACGUUAAUCGGGGCAGGGUGAGUCGACCCCUAAGGCGAGGCCGAAAGGCGUAGUCGAUGGGAAACAGGUUAAUAUUCCUGUACUUGGUGUUACUGCGAAGGGGGGACGGAGAAGGCUAUGUUGGCCGGGCGACGGUUGUC
rnacentral:rRNA from 1 species